GCAGAGGACUUGGAUACAAAGUGGAAAAGUGGAACAGGGGGUAUGAAAGAGUUAUCUUUGCCCAGGGGUCAAACCUAUGAGAACCGCCCCUGCUAGUUUUAGACUCUGACCACAGAAAGAUAACAGGGGGAAUCUGGCCUCUGCACUGCCAUCGUCCCCUACCCUCUCUCUGCAGACUGAAUCACCCAGCACCUGGGUUUUUUUUUUUUCCUUUCACUCUGUGUUCUCACAAUCAGAAUACAUACUGUAUUUUCCAGCUGACCUACAAGUUAACAAAAAGACUUUCAUGGGAGAUGCCUGCCUACACGUGAUGAAAGGCUUCAGGCUCUGUGACUUACCAUGAUAAAAAGGCUCUGCAGGUGUAAAAGCUCCAUCUCCACUGCAGCUCCAUCAUGUGUGAAAUAGCCUCACUGUGUGUGCCUGCAUAGCUGCUUCUGAGCUGUUGGAGAAAACUUCGGAGCCAGCUCUACAGUUUCAGCCUCAGCUUUGGAUCUGCUCAUGCUACAUUAUAGAUGUAUGAGGACCCUUUG